rnacentral:rRNA from 1 species
GUGCACAGCCUAAAUAUCUCAAAGGCACCAGAUCCAGUCAGAUCUUGGAUUCUAAGAAGAUUCAAUCCUGGUCAGUACUUGGGUGGGAAAUCACUAACGAAUACCAGGAGCUGUAGGGU